rnacentral:siRNA from 1 species
GUGCUUAUGUUUGGACACUUGU